rnacentral:rRNA from 1 species
AUGAACGCUGGCGGCGUGGAUAAGGCAUGCAAGUCAAGGGGGCCCGCAAGGGCAACCGGCGAACGAGGUAGUAACACGUAGGAACUUCCCCUUUAGUCAGGAAUAACUAGCCGAAAGGUUAGCUAAUACUUGAUGGUCUCUUCGGAGUAAAGAUUUAUCGCUAAAGGAAAGGCCUGCGGGAUAUCAGCUAGUUGGUAGGGUAAUGGCCUACCAAGGCUAUGACGUCUAGGGGAGCUGAGAGGCUGACCCCCACCGAUGGUACUGAGACACGGACCAUACACCUACGGGUGGCCGCAGUCGAGAAUCUUCCGCAAUGGGCGAAAGCCUGACGGAGCGACGCCGCGUGAUUGAUGAAGUCCCUCUGGGACGUAAAGAUCUUUUGGGAGGGAGAAAGUUUAUUGAUAGUACCUCCAGAAUAAGGGGUUGCUAAACUCGUGCCAGCAGCAGCGGUAAUACGAGUGCCCCAAGCGUUAUCCGGAAUUACUGGGCGUAAAGGGUGUGUAGGUGGCUGUAUUAGUCUCCCGUUAAAUAUCCCGGCUUAACCGGGAAGCUGCGGGGGAAACGGUGCAGCUUGAGGGUGAGAGGGGCCGAUGGAACUCAUGGAGUAGGGGUGAAAUCCGUUGAUAUCAUGGGGAACACCGAAAGCGAAGGCAGUCGGCUGGAGCAUUCCUGACACUGAAACACGAAAGCGUAGGUAGCGAAUGGGAUUAGAUACCCCAGUAGUCUACGCCCUAAACGAUGAUCGCUAGCUUUUCGGAGUAUCGACCCUCUGAGAGGCGAAGCUAACGCGUUAAGCGAUCCGCCUGGGUAGUACGGCCGCAAGGCUAAAACUCAAAGGAAUUGACGGGGGCCCGCACAAGCGGUGGAGCAUGUGGUUUAAUUCGACGCAACGCGAAGAACCUUACCAACCCUUGACAUGCCCGGACGGUUUCCAGAGAUGGAUUCCUCCUAGCAAUAGGUCGGGACACAGGUGCUGCAUGGCUGUCGUCAGCUCGUGUCGUGAGAUGUUGGGUUAAGUCCCGCAACGAGCGCAACCCUCGCCAUUAGUUGCCAUCAUUUAGUUGGGCACUCUAGUGGGACUGCCGGUGAUAAGCCGGAGGAAGGUGGGGAUGACGUCAAGUCCUCAUGGCCCUUACGGGCUGGGCUACACACGUGCUACAAUGGCGGUGACAGAGGGAUGCAAAGGGGCAACCCUUCGCAAAUCUCAAAAAGCCGUCUCAGUUCGGAUUGGGGUCUGCAACUCGACCCCAUGAAGUUGGAAUCGCUAGUAAUCGCAGAUCAGCACGCUGCGGUGAAUACGUUCCCGGGCCUUGUACACACCGCC